CUUACUUUAUAUGCAUAUUCGUCCGUUUCUUUACUCGAAACUUCGCUUGCGAGACGUCAGCCAACAGUGUUUUUGAAUUACAAGCUGUAUAAAGCGACAAUUUGGUGAUUAUAUGUUCUGCCCGUCGUCCCGUUUUUGUAUGAACUCGUGUUAUCCAAGCAUGCAAUUCUGCCAAUUCUUAGUUCGAUCAUGGUGGUAUGUUCUGAUGCAAUCUUGCCGAAACUAUUUCUAAACCUUGUACUAAAAUCGGCCCGUUUAACAAAAUGUAUUUUCUACCUGCAAGAUGUCUUGUGAUAAAUGCCUCAACCGGCCUUCUUCGAAAAUUUACAAAAAAAUUUGAAUAACAAAUGGUCAUUGUUUUGAGAUCACAUGCAUACUUUUAAACCGGUUUUCGACUAGUCGGAGUUUUGUGGGCGGAGCGGACGACGGCUAUUAAUGCAAUGGCAUUAAUCCCGUAGCACAAAAGAAAUAAAUAAUCAAAAGUCUAGCAAAUGAUUCCUAGCAGAUGACAACGCUGCAUUUGAACAUGAAACAAUUGCACAAAACAUCAAUUUUGUACCAAAAUCGGAUCUCUGGCAUUCUCUGCACUAUUUCUACAAUAUUUGUAACAUAAUUGGUUGAGACUAUUUUCCCCCAAUGGAAAAUUCACAUAUUUUGAUGAUAAACUCCAUGUUGAAUCAUGUUGCCUUACUUAAGCCCCCGCUUCGCCAACUCCAAUGACGAGCUUGUGUCAUGGUAUAUUACCAAAAGUUGUUUCGGUGAUGUUUACAACAUUGAACUGGGGGGGGGGGGUUAUUCAUUCGGGGGGGGGGGGGGGGGAGACAAAGUUUAUUCAUUAAGAUUUGGAUUAAAGGUGAUCUGCAGUCCGUAUGUAAACAAAGCCUUUGUUUACAUUUUUGUGUCCAAAAUAUUGAGCUUUAUUCGACAACUAUUUAUAUUUUCAAGCUUCUAGAGUAUAAUAAAUGAUCAAGAAACAACAAUUAGGCUUUUCAAGAACUCAAAACAGAGUUAAACUGUUUCUAUCAUAAAAAGUGGGCUCACUUGUGCACAUGCGCAGAUCGGACUGUAGAUCACCUUUAACGUUCGGAUUAAUCGUAGACCCAUUACAACCCAAUACUUUAUUGCAUACAAUGGCAUUACAACGCCAAUAGAUUAUUGGUUACAACGUGCGGAACGGCUGAAACUUCAACAUGGCCGCCAUCUAUUCAAUGGGGGUAACCGCUGGAAUAUUCUUGGCUUCAAUUGUACUAAAAGAGAUGCGCUAUCUAGUGUAAAUAAGAUAUCUAUGCUGCGGUCCCCAGUAGCGUAGCCAGCCCGACGAUUUAGUCCCGCUAUGCAAAUAUUUUCGUGUUCAUUGACUGUGAAAACAAUCAAUUUCUUUCAAUUUUUCUUUUUUUUUUUAUUUUUUUUUUUUAUUUUCAUUUUGAAUUUGCAUAGCGGGACUGAAUUGUCGGGCUGGCUACGCCACUGGCGGUCCCACUCAACUGUUCAUCUGAAGCGAAAUUAUGUAAAGACAAUCCAAUAUGGAGCCGAGAUGGAGAAUAUAAAGGACCAAGGGGCAAAUCACUGAACAUUAAAUCACAAAAAUAAAUCAAAGGACGUUGAGGCCGACUCAAGGAUGAGAUCAAUGAAAGUGACUGAAAGAAUUAGAGCAGUUUGCAGUUGUUUUUGCAAACGGGCACCAUGCGAAUUUUGCCAUUUGUCAUGCUUCUUUUGCCAAAUCAAAAGUCAAAAGAAUGAAAACGUGCUCCAGCCCGAUUUCCAGUUCUAAAAGGCCCAAUUCGCAGGCAAACAGUGCGUGCAAAGCAGGCUGGUCAUUUCCCAUUGUUUAGUUGCUUCAUACUCAGUAAGUCAAUCAAAGAUAACCAGAAUCCUGGUCACAUUUACCAGACUAUGGUAGGAAGUGAGAUAAAACAACUAGGAAAUUUAAUCAAGAAUAGUAAUUUAACCCAAAUAGGUUUAUUUCUUGGUUAAUCAGGAACAUUUUAACCAGGGUUGUUCAAAAGGAAAUUCCACAAAAAGAAAUUUAAUCAAGAAUAUUAAAUUGACCCAAAUAGCUUUAUUUUUAGGUUAAUCGGGAACAUUUUAACCUGGGGCCGGUUGUCCAAACGUCGGUCGGCUUAAUCCACAAUCUCGUACGCAGAG